AUUGAACGCUGGCGGCAGGCUUAACACAUGCAAGUCGAGCGGGGUGAUGGUGCUUGCACUAUCACUUAGCGGCGGACGGGUGAGUAAUGCUUAGGAAUCUGCCUAUUAGUGGGGGACAACAUCUCGAAAGGGAUGCUAAUACCGCAUACGUCCUACGGGAGAAAGCAGGGGAUCACUUGUGACCUUGCGCUAAUAGAUGAGCCUAAGUCGGAUUAGCUAGUUGGUGGGGUAAAGGCCUACCAAGGCGACGAUCUGUAGCGGGUCUGAGAGGAUGAUCCGCCACACUGGGACUGAGACACGGCCCAGACUCCUACGGGAGGCAGCAGUGGGGAAUAUUGGACAAUGGGGGGAACCCUGAUCCAGCCAUGCCGCGUGUGUGAAGAAGGCCUUAUGGUUGUAAAGCACUUUAAGCGAGGAGGAGGCUCUUGGUUAAUACCCAAGAUGAGUGGACGUUACUCGCAGAAUAAGCACCGGCUAACUCUGUGCCAGCCGCCGCAGUAA
rnacentral:rRNA from 1 species